rnacentral:pre_miRNA from 1 species
AUAGCUCUUUAAUGCUAAUGUUGGGUCUAACUCUUUUUAUACCCAACAUUAGCAUUAAAGAGUUAUACCCAACAUUAGCAUUAAAGAGAUAGACCCAACAUUAGCACUAAAGAGCUAUACC